AGUGAACGCUGGCGGCGUGCCUAACACAUGCAAGUCGAACGAUGAAGUCCUUCGGGAUGGAUUAGUGGCGCACGGGUGAGUAUACCAUAGAUAAUGUACCUCUUAGUUCGGGAUAGCCACUGGAAACGGUGAUUAAUACCGGAUACUCCUUCUCAUUAUAAGAUGAGUCGGGAAAGUUUUUUCGCUAAGAGAUCAGUCUAUGUCCUAUCAGCUAGUUGGUGAGGUAAUGGCUCACCAAGGCUAUGACGGGUAUCUGGUUUGAGAGGAUGAUCAGACACACUGGAACUGAGACACGGUCCAGACUCCCACGGGAGGCAGCAGUGAGGAAUAUUGCACAAUGGAGGAAACUCUGAUGCAGCAACGCCGCGUGGAGGAUGACGCAUUUCGGUGUGUAAACUCCUUUUAAGAGGGAAGAUAAUGACGGUACCUCUUGAAUAAGCACCGGCUAACUCCGUGCCAGCCGCCGCGGUAAGAC
rnacentral:rRNA from 1 species